ACGGAGGGUGCGAGCGUUAAUCGGAAUCACUGGGCGUAAAGCGCACGUAGGCGGUGUCGUAAGUCGGAUGUGAAAGCCCUCGGCUCAACCGGGGAACUGCAUUCGAUACUGCGAUGCUUGAGUGCCGGAGAGGGUGGCGGAAUUCCAGGUGGAGGGGGCGACUGGGGGGCUAGCGGGAGGGAGGUGAGAGGGGAUGGCGGACAAAUAGGCUGCGACUGACGCGGAGGUGCGUAAGCGUGGGGAUGAAACAG
rnacentral:rRNA from 1 species